rnacentral:rRNA from 1 species
GGGUAAAAGGGGGAGGGCCGUGGCAACCGAUGCAAGUCGAGCGGACAGAAGGGAGCUUGCUCCCGGAUGUUAGCGGCGGACGGGUGAGUAACACGUGGGUAACCUGCCUGUAARAAUGGGAUAACUCCGGGAAACCGGAGCUAAUACCGGAUAGUUCCUUGAACCGCAUGGUUCAAGGAUGAAAGACGGUUUCGGCUGUCACUUACAGAUGGACCCGCGGCGCAUUAGCUAGUUGGUGAGGUAACGGCUCACCAAGGCGACGAUGCGUAGCCGACCUGAGAGGGUGAUCGGCCACACUGGGACUGAGACACGGCCCAGACUCCUACGGGAGGCAGCAGUAGGGAAUCUUCCGCAAUGGACGAAAGUCUGACGGAGCAACGCCGCGUGAGUGAUGAAGGUUUUCGGAUCGUAAAGCUCUGUUGUUAGGGAAGAACAAGUGCAAGAGUAACUGCUUGCACCUUGACGGUACCUAACCAGAAAGCCACGGCUAACUACGUGCCAGCAGCCGCGGUAAUACGUAUGUGGCAAGCGUUGUCCGGAAUUAUUGGGCGUAAAGGGCUCGCAGGCGGUCUCUUAAGUCUGAUGUGAAAGCCCCCGGCUCAACCGGGGAGGGUCAUUGGAAACUGGGAGACUUGAGUGCAGAAGAGGAGAGUGGAACUCCACGUGUAGCGGUGAAAUGCGUAGAGAUGUGGAAGAACACCAGUGGCGAAGGCGACUCUCUGCCCUGUAACUGACGCUGAGGAGCGAAAGCGUGGGGAGCGAACAGGAUUAGAUACCCUGGUAGUCCACGCCGUAAACGAUGGAGUGCUAAGUGUUAGGGGUUUCCGCCCCCUUAGUGSUGCAGCUAACGCAUUAAGCACUCCGACUGGCGAGGACCGGUCGGCAGGACUGAAUCUCAUAAGAAUUUGACAGAGGGCCCGMACAA